rnacentral:lncRNA from 1 species
ACGGAUCUCCUUACCCUCCACCCCAACCGGGUUACCCAUCGGCGCCGCCUCAUGAAGGGUACCCUCCGCCGCCGCCGCCUCCGGGAUAUGGUGGGUACCCUCCACCGCAUCCGCCGCAGCGUCCGCCGUAUGACUCCUACCAGGGCUACUUCGACAACGGGCGUCCACCGCCACCUCCGCCGCCGCACUACCAUUACCAGCACGUGGAUCAUCAUCACCUCCACGAUGAGCCCGGGUGCUUUUCAUUCCUGCGAGGCUGGUACGUUUUUUUCAUUUGUUUAUGAGCGUUUAUCUUAGUGCCUAUAUUUUAAAAAUAAUUAUCUAAUUAAUUGUUAGUCCGAGUGGAAUUGGAUUCAGAUUGUCUGUG